rnacentral:rRNA from 1 species
UUAAGCGACUAAGCGUACACGGUGGAUGCCCUGGCAGUCAGAGGCGAUGAAGGACGUGCUAAUCUGCGAUAAGCGUCGGUAAGGUGAUAUGAACCGUUAUAACCGGCGAUUUCCGAAUGGGGAAACCCAGUGUGUUUCGACACACUAUCAUUAACUGAAUCCAUAGGUUAAUGAGGCGAACCGGGGGAACUGAAACAUCUAAGUACCCCGAGGAAAAGAAAUCAACCGAGAUUCCCCCAGUAGCGGCGAGCGAACGGGGAGCAGCCCAGAGCCUGAAUCAGUGUGUGUGUUAGUGGAAGCGUCUGGAAAGGCGCGCGAUACAGGGUGACAGCCCCGUACACAAAAAUGCACAUGCUGUGAGCUCGAUGAGUAGGGCGGGACACGUGGUAUCCUGUCUGAAUAUGGGGGGACCAUCCUCCAAGGCUAAAUACUCCUGACUGACCGAUAGUGAACCAGUACCGUGAGGGAAAGGCGAAAAGAACCCCGGCGAGGGGAGUGAAAAAGAACCUGAAACCGUGUACGUACAAGCAGUGGGAGCACGCUUAGGCGUGUGACUGCGUACCUUUUGUAUAAUGGGUCAGCGACUUAUAUUCUGUAGCAAGGUUAACCGAAUAGGGGAGCCGAAGGGAAACCGAGUCUUAACUGGGCGUUAAGUUGCAGGGUAUAGACCCGAAACCCGGUGAUCUAGCCAUGGGCAGGUUGAAGGUUGGGUAACACUAACUGGAGGACCGAACCGACUAAUGUUGAAAAAUUAGCGGAUGACUUGUGGCUGGGGGUGAAAGGCCAAUCAAACCGGGAGAUAGCUGGUUCUCCCCGAAAGCUAUUUAGGUAGCGCCUCGUGAAUUCAUCUCCGGGGGUAGAGCACUGUUUCGGCAAGGGGGUCAUCCCGACUUACCAACCCGAUGCAAACUGCGAAUACCGGAGAAUGUUAUCACGGGAGACACACGGCGGGUGCUAACGUCCGUCGUGAAGAGGGAAACAACCCAGACCGCCAGCUAAGGUCCCAAAGUCAUGGUUAAGUGGGAAACGAUGUGGGAAGGCCCAGACAGCCAGGAUGUUGGCUUAGAAGCAGCCAUCAUUUAAAGAAAGCGUAAUAGCUCACUGGUCGAGUCGGCCUGCGCGGAAGAUGUAACGGGGCUAAACCAUGCACCGAAGCUGCGGCAGCGACGCUGAUGCGUUGUUGGGUAGGGGAGCGUUCUGUAAGCCUGCGAAGGUGUGCUGUGAGGCAUGCUGGAGGUAUCAGAAGUGCGAAUGCUGACAUAAGUAACGAUAAAGCGGGUGAAAAGCCCGCUCGCCGGAAGACCAAGGGUUCCUGUCCAACGUUAAUCGGGGCAGGGUGAGUCGACCCCUAAGGCGAGGCCGAAAGGCGUAGUCGAUGGGAAACAGGUUAAUAUUCCUGUACUUGGUGUUACUGCGAAGGGGGGACGGAGAAGGCUAUGUUGGCCGGGCGACGGUUGUCCCGGUUUAAGCGUGUAGGCUGGUUUUCCAGGCAAAUCCGGAAAAUCAAGGCUGAGGCGUGAUGACGAGGCACUACGGUGCUGAAGCAACAAAUGCCCUGCUUCCAGGAAAAGCCUCUAAGCAUCAGGUAACAUCAAAUCGUACCCCAAACCGACACAGGUGGUCAGGUAGAGAAUACCAAGGCGCUUGAGAGAACUCGGGUGAAGGAACUAGGCAAAAUGGUGCCGUAACUUCGGGAGAAGGCACGCUGAUAUGUAGGUGAAGUCCCUUGCGGAUGGAGCUGAAAUCAGUCGAAGAUACCAGCUGGCUGCAACUGUUUAUUAAAAAACACAGCACUGUGCAAACACGAAAGUGGACGUAUACGGUGUGACGCCUGCCCGGUGCCGGAAGGUUAAUUGAUGGGGUCAGCGCAAGCGAAGCUCUUGAUCGAAGCCCCGGUAAACGGCGGCCGUAACUAUAACGGUCCUAAGGUAGCGAAAUUCCUUGUCGGGUAAGUUCCGACCUGCACGAAUGGCGUAAUGAUGGCCAGGCUGUCUCCACCCGAGACUCAGUGAAAUUGAACUCGCUGUGAAGAUGCAGUGUACCCGCGGCAAGACGGAAAGACCCCGUGAACCUUUACUAUAGCUUGACACUGAACAUUGAGCCUUGAUGUGUAGGAUAGGUGGGAGGCUUUGAAGUGUGGACGCCAGUCUGCAUGGAGCCGACCUUGAAAUACCACCCUUUAAUGUUUGAUGUUCUAACGUUGACCCGUAAUCCGGGUUGCGGACAGUGUCUGGUGGGUAGUUUGACUGGGGCGGUCUCCUCCUAAAGAGUAACGGAGGAGCACGAAGGUUGGCUAAUCCUGGUCGGACAUCAGGAGGUUAGUGCAAUGGCAUAAGCCAGCUUGACUGCGAGCGUGACGGCGCGAGCAGGUGCGAAAGCAGGUCAUAGUGAUCCGGUGGUUCUGAAUGGAAGGGCCAUCGCUCAACGGAUAAAAGGUACUCCGGGGAUAACAGGCUGAUACCGCCCAAGAGUUCAUAUCGACGGCGGUGUUUGGCACCUCGAUGUCGGCUCAUCACAUCCUGGGGCUGAAGUAGGUCCCAAGGGUAUGGCUGUUCGCCAUUUAAAGUGGUACGCGAGCUGGGUUUAGAACGUCGUGAGACAGUUCGGUCCCUAUCUGCCGUGGGCGCUGGAGAACUGAGGGGGGCUGCUCCUAGUACGAGAGGACCGGAGUGGACGCAUCACUGGUGUUCGGGUUGUCAUGCCAAUGGCACUGCCCGGUAGCUAAAUGCGGAAGAGAUAAGUGCUGAAAGCAUCUAAGCACGAAACUUGCCCCGAGAUGAGUUCUCCCUGACUCCUUGAGAGUCCUGAAGGAACGUUGAAGACGACGACGUUGAUAGGCCGGGUGUGUAAGCGCAGCGAUGCGUUGAGCUAACCGGUACUAAUGAACCGUGAGGCUUAACCUU